AACGAACGCUGGCGGCAUGCCUAACACAUGCAAGUCGAACGAGACCUUCGGGUCUAGUGGCGCACGGGUGCGUAACGCGUGGGAACCUGCCCUUAGGUUCGGAAUAACUCCCCGAAAGGGGUGCUAAUACCAGAUAAUGUCUUCGGACCAAAGAUUUAUCGCCUUUGGAUAGGCCCGCGUUGGAUUAGCUAGUUGGUAGGGUAAAAGCCUACCAAGGCGACGAUCCAUAGCUGGUCUGAGAGGAUGAUCAGCCACACUGGGACUGAGACACGGCCCAGACUCCUACGGGAGGCAGCAGUGGGGAAUAUUGGACAAUGGGCGAAAGCCUGAUCCAGCAAUGCCGCGUGAGUGAUGAAGGCCUUAGGGUUGUAAAGCUCUUUUACCCGGGAUGAUAAUGACAGUACCGGGAGAAUAAGCUCCGGCUAACUCCGUG
rnacentral:rRNA from 1 species